rnacentral:snoRNA from 1 species
CAACCCUUGUCUCACUCUGAGGUGUACCAACUUCUCCGUGGUAUAUUUCUAUUUUUGUUCAAGGAAGAGGAAACCAUGUCGAUACUCACCACAACGCCCUUUUCCCGUGGGUGUGGUGGUCCAUCAAAACGUCAAACAU